rnacentral:rRNA from 1 species
UACGUAGGGGGCGAGCGUUGUCCGGAAUUAUUGGGCGUAAAGAGCGUGUAGGCGGUUCGGUAAGUCUGCCGUGAAAACCCAGGGCUCAACCCUGGGCGUGCGGUGGAUACUGCCGGGCUAGAGGGUGGUAGAGGCGAGUGGAAUUCCCGGUGUAGCGGUGAAAUGCGCAGAUAUCGGGAGGAACACCAGUAGCGAAGGCGGCUCGCUGGGCCACACCUGACGCUGAGACGCGAAAGCGUGGGGUGCAAACAGG